UAGGCAACAACAAAAAAAGAAUAUUCUCAUUCUCUUAAUUUUUGUCCUUUUCCAUAGUCACAUGUUGCCUGAUCGGCUCUCUAAGGGGGAGGAGAUUUUCUUUUUCUGCUUCAAUUUUCUGAAGCAUAUUGUUUGUGACACGUUUUCAGU